AGGUGACUAAACAACAACCAUCAACAAACCUGUGCAUCAUGUAUAAGAUGUGGAGAAAUAACAGCCAUUACAUUGUAAAUGGUCAAGGAGAGUGAACCCAAAAUGACCUUAGGAGCUGUUGCUACUGGGGAGUGUUGUGUGGAGCAGGAGAGCUGAAUUCUUGUAGCCUCUAUAAGGUC